rnacentral:rRNA from 1 species
AUAAACGCUGGCGGCGUGCCUAACACAUGCAAGUCGAGCGAGAAAGCUCCUUCGGGAGUUAGUAAAGCGGCGAACGGGUGAGCAACGCGUGAGAAUCUGCCCUUUAGUGAAGAAUACCCUCGAGAAAUCGAGGCUAAUACUGCAUACGUCCCUUCGGGGAGAAAGAUGGCCUCUUUGCUAUCGCUAAAGGAUGAGCUUGCGUACUAUUAGCUAGUUGGUGGGGUAAUGGCCCACCAAGGCGAUGAUGGUUAACCGGCCUGAGAGGGUGUACGGUCACACUGGAACUUAGACACGGUCCAGACUCCUACGGGAGGCAGCAGUGAGGAAUCUUGCGCAAUGGGCGAAAGCCUGACGCAGCGACGCCGCGUGAAGGAUGAAGGUCUUCGGAUUGUAAACUUCUGUUAAGCGGGAAGAAAGGCCUGUUUCUAAUACAGACAGGAUAUGACGGUACCGCUAGAGAAAGCACCGGCUAACUUCGUGCCAGCAGCCGCGGUAAUACGAGGGGUGCAAGCGUUAUUCGGAUUAAUUGGGUGUAAAGGGUGCGCAGACGGUCUGUUAAGUCACUUGUUAAAUUCUUCGGCCUAACUGAAGGUGUGCGGGUGAUACUGGCGAACUAGAGGAUGGAAGAGAGAAGUGGAAUUCUCGGAAGUAGCGGUAAAAUGCGUAGAUCUCGAGAGGAACACCAAUGGCGAAGGCAGCUUCUUGGUCCAUAUCUGACGUUCAUGCACGAAAGCGUGGGGAGCAAACAGGAUUAGAUACCCUGGUAGUCCACGCUGUAAACGAUGAUCACUGGACGUUAAUUCUGUUUAACAGGAUUAGUGUCGUAGCUAACGCAUUAAGUGAUCCACCUGGGGAUUACGGUCGCAAGACUAAAACUCAAAGGAAUUGACGGGGGCCCGCACAAGCGGUGGAACAUGUGGUUUAAUUCGACACUACGCGAGGAACCUUACCUAGGCUUGACAUGCUUUUGAUAGUCGUAGAAAUACGAUCUUUCUGGCUUCGGUCAGAACAAUUGCACAGGUGCUGCAUGGCUGUCGUCGGCUCGUGUCGUGAGAUGUUGGGUUAAGUCCUCUAACGAGCGCAACCCCUGCUGUCAGUUGCUAGUUGCGUAAGCAAAGCACUCUGAUGGGACUGCCUGGGAAACCAGGAGGAAGGUGGGGAUGACGUCAAGUCCUCAUGGCCUUUAUGCCUAGGGCAACACACGUGUUACAAUGGUUGGUACAAAGAGUUGCGAGCUCGCAAGAGCAAGCUAAUCUCAUAAAGCCAAUCUAAGUUCAGAUUGAGGUCUGCAACUCGACCUCAUGAAGUUGAAAUCGCUAGUAAUCGCGCAUCAGAACGGCGCGGUGAAUACGUUCUCGGGCCUUGUACACACCGCCCGUCACACCAUGAGAGCUGUUUGUACCCAAAAACAUUUUAGCCAACCCGUAAGGGAGGCGAAUGUCUAAGGUAUGGAGAGUGAUUGGGGUG